GAGGCAGCAGUGGAGUUGCUUCCCCUGCCAGGCGGGCUCGAACCGCACGGGAGCCACUGUCCACCUUGCUUCGUCAGGGCGUUAUCGCCAGCCAGUCCCCUUCCGCAUGCCCAAGAGCAGCCCCAGGAAGCGAGCCCACCACCAUCAGCCCAGCGCCUGUUGAUCGGCCAGGCCUUCUGGGCCGGUCGUACUGGGCCCUUCCUAACCUCCACUCAAAAAAAAGAAAGUCCUAAUGCAAGUAAUCGAAAGAGAAGAUAUUGCAAAACAAAUAAUCAGGUUCUCAUUCUGUCACCCAGGCUGAAGUGCAGUGGCGUACACUGCAGCCUCGAACUCCUGGGAUCAAGUGAUCUCCCUCCUCAGCCUCCCAAGUCACUGGGAUUACAGACUGACAACUGAAUUGAUGAUAUGAUGACAGGCUCAUCCCUCCACUGUAAACUAUGGUAAGUAAUUUGUAUGGCAUUACUUUGAUACUACACAGAUGUCCAGUUCCC